rnacentral:rRNA from 1 species
CGAGGGUGCGAGCGUUAAUCGGAAUUACUGGGCGUAAAGGGUGCGUAGGUUGUCAUAUAAGUCAGGUGUGAAAUCCCAGAGCUCAACUUUGGAAUUGCGCUUGAUACUGUGUGGCUAGAGUUCUGUAGAGGGUAGUAGAAUUUCCGGUGUAGCGGUGAAAUGCGUAGAUAUCGGAAGGAAUACCGGUGGCGAAGGUGGCUACCUGGACAGAAACUGACACUGAGGCACGAAAGCGUGGGUAGCAAACAGGAUUAGAUACCCGAGUAGUCC